GAAGGAGAAAAACAAAAGGAAGAAGAGAAAACAAAGAAAGGAAAAUCGGCCAAGAAGACCAAAAAUUCACCCCUUCAAAUUUCAUCCCAAAAAUUAUAAUUUUCUAGUAUUCCUACUAAGUCAAGGGUGCUCUACAACAUGGUGUAGUUGUUUUGGAAGUUUGGAGAUUUUUUUUCAUUGAUUUGGAAGUGAAGAAGUUAGAAGAAAAAGAUUUUGGAGGAAACGGGAAUUGAAUUUGGACAACCGUAAAACGUCAAAAAGUUUCUCACUACUCCACUCGUGGAUGCCUCAAUACUUCUUUCACUGAGCCUGGGCCAGGAUAUGUUUUCGUGCGUAUUUCUCUGCAUUGUUCGCCAUGUCCCGACGUGAGGGGACAGGUAUGACAUGUACCAUGGGGUGGUAAAUAUUAUGCCACGGAGUUAUGCUGUGCCAUGUACAUAUAUGUUUGUGAUAUGAUAUGAUAUGAUAUGAUUUGAUAUGGCCAUCUGAUAUGAUAUGAUUUGUUA